AUUUGAGAACAUACUCGUGCCAUGGAUUUCAAGCAAAUAUUUUUAGAAUAAGGUAUUGUGGGGCACUUCCUUUCUGGAAAACACCAAACAUGCCAAUCUGAAAUCAAGAGUGGCAGAGACAGUGAUGAUAAAGUGUUGGAGGAGAGAUAGAAGUAAGAGAGAGGACGGAAGAGCUGGCGCCACUGCGGAAACCAUGCUGCAGCUGAGAGAAAAGGGGAAAAACAUGCCCACAGAGCCAGCCACACCCGCAGCCACGCAGAGAAAUCCAUGUGGUCCCACACAGCGGAGGCAGAACACGAGGAAGGAAAGGCUAAUUCUCCGUGGAGGAAACCAGACUGAGCAGCUGGGAUCCUCUGUGGCCAAAGUGAGGUGUUCCAGAAACUUAGAGCUCAGAUUUAUAGACUUAAUGUUGGACUUGGUUCGAACAAUUAAACACAGUGUCGCAAAGAAGCUGCGAUAAACAAGUGAAACAAUAGGAGGACACGCAUUUAUCAACAGUCCCGGCAGUGGAACAUAACUGGGUGUGUGGGAGGAGCAGGAGAGUAGCUGAGUGGAGUGGAAAGGAGAGGAGUGGUGUUAAGUUGUAGGUGAUGGAGGAGAGCCAGCAUAGAGCUGUUUGCAGCUGCAA